UAUGACUUGACCCGGCAGAACAACCGGGGAUCACUUUUGAUGUUCCUUGAACAAAACAUGUUCGCGUUUGCAUUUUCGUGUCAUGACAGGGAACCGUUUUACAUUGUGUAGUCAAUUAGGAUGAUGAUCUCGGUCACCGAGGCAGGUCUAAAGAGCUGCUAAACUGGAACCGCACUGCUCUUAACUCAACUUAAAAUGUAUUUUUAAAUGUGUGGGAGACAAAUCACACCUUCAAAACCUCAGGGUGUGAUGAGUUGAAAGUGGACACAAGGCAAAUACUUGAUUCUAUAAAUUGGAAUGUGAAAAAAAAUGUCAAAAUGCUUCGUCAGGUUGGAAUUGAUGCUUCACAUCAGGAUAAAAAUGUGAACAAUUACUUUGGUGAAUGUUAGCAACCUAUCUUCCAGAUGAUUUCAUUCAUUUUUGGUGGGAAUUUCGGAAUUUAAUUUGUCUUUUAAAAGAAAUUCCAUUCACAGUUCAUCUUGAGAAAAUGUCAGUCACUGUGUGCAUGGCAUGCAAAGUAUGUUGUGGUGUUUACUCGCUGAGUAUGACCUCUUUUUUUCUUCAGGGUUUGAGAUUAGCUUGCUUCCACACAAACAUGUUGGGACUAAGAUGGUUAUCUCAAAUCUUGAAGGUGUGAGGUGAAACGGGGUUAAAUGCAGAUAGAUGAUCCAAUCCUCUUCUUGCUCUUGUUUAUGUAAUACAAACACACUCAUUCACCCGCAUCAAGAAGCAAAACCUAAUCUCACGUUCAAAUACAUAUUUCCAUUUUAGGAAGCCUCUCUACAUUCACAAUACUUAAUGAAUUUCUUUGCACAAAAACAAAUUAAUCACAAACACCUGGCUGUGUGUGUGUGUGUGUGUGUGUGUGUGUGUGUGUGUGUGUGCGCGCGUAUUGGUGGGGGUUUAAGUGCGCUGUGGGCCCAAGGCGUCGAUAGUAAGAUCAUUAAAAGUAAGAGAAGCUAAUCCUGGGCGCAUUAAGGGAGUUGGCUGUGAAAUGGGCACACACGUCGCACAGCUAAAGAAAACAGGAUAAUUGAAUUGACCUGGGUCACUGCACGGAUUACCAGUGCGUCCUCACUAUCCUAAGCUCCACCCCCUCUCUGCGGGAUUUAGGGAAGGACCUCUGGAAAGGGCGUGCAGACAAAAAAAGGUAGACAUAUUGAAGAGAGUGUUGGGUAAUGCGAGAGAAAAUAAAAGUAUAGGAGUAGAGGAGAGGAUUUUUUUUUUGUCCUCAGUAAUAUCGUUCCUCCACUUUCAUUUCGUCUUGAGAUACAUAUUACUUACCAAUCAAUGACUUAUUGGGGGCAGGUUUUAAUUUUUAUGCUUCCAAUCUUGUGGGAACACAUUGGGGUUGUUGUUCCAGCAUGUCUGUGAGUGAGUUUGUGUGUAGGGGCGGAUGAGCUCAGAGAGGUAAGGUGGCGCGAGAUUAUUCAGAGAUUUGAAAACAAAGAGGAGGAUCUUCAAAAUAACUAAAAUGAAUGGGGAGCCAGUGAAGGGAUGCCAGAGUAGGAGUUAUGUGCUCCCUCUUACGAGUACCAGUCAAGAGGCGAGCAGCGGCAUUCUGGACCAGCUGAAGGUGCUUAAUGGAGGAUUGGCUGACUCCAGCCAAGCAGAUAAAGUAAGCAAGCAGGCUGACUCCAAAGUAAAGGGCAUUGCAGUAAUCGAGCUGGGAUGUGACAAAGGCAUGAAUUACUGUCUCAAAGUGUUCUUGUGAGAGGAGAGGUUUUUUUUGGCCAGCUGUCUUAAGGUGAAAGAAGCUGGAUUUAACAACGGCACCAAUUUGUCGAUCGAGUUUGAAAUCACUGUCCAGUUUAAGGCCCACGUUUGAGACCGUUGAUUUCAGAUAAGGAGACAGGGGGCCCAAGUCUACAGGGUGGUAUGUACAAGGGCCACUGGGACCAAACAAUAUCACCUCUGUCUUGUUUUCGUUGAAUUUCAAGACAUUUUGUGCCAAACAGGUUUUGAUUUCUUCCAGACAGGAUAGGAGUGGCAUCUUUCUUGCUCAGUGGGACAUAGAACUGGCAGUCAUCUGCAUAGCAGUGGAAGGGAAUACCAUGUUUCCUUAAGAUGCAACCCAAUGGGAGCAGAUACAGAGAGAACAGCAGAGGCCCCAGAAUUGAGCCCUGUGGAACACCACAUGACAGGGGAGCAGUGCGUGACUCAGAGCAGCCAAGGCUGAUACAAAAGUUUCUGUCAGCUAGAUAGGACCAUUCAGUACAGUACAGGAGUACAGGUAGAAGUUGCGUUGCUUUCAAAAAACAUUGGUGGUUUGAAAGAAUGAUUGGACUUUGUGUGACACAAUCGGACAAAAAUUUGAAAUUUUUGGCAUUUCUAUCGACUUGAAAUAUGAGCUUUGUAUUUCUGUGGCCACGCUCGUAACUCAAAACACUCAAAUCUUCAGUCAUCUUUACCCAUUGGAAUGAAUGGAAAUUCUCUCUCUCUUUCUCUCUCUCUCUCUUGUGCAUCGUCUCUCUAGAAUGAGAAAAGUAAGUAAGAGUGGUACCUCUACUUAUGAAAUUAAUUGGUUCUUGAAGAACAUUUUUAAACAGAAAUUUUUGUAAUCAGAAACGCGUUUUCCAUGUAAAUGCCCUAAUUCGUUCCAAAAACCCCCAAAUUCAGACAUAAAUUUUUCCUCAAGCAUAAAAAUGCAUCAAAAUAUGUAACAAAUACAUGUUACAAUUAGAUCAUUGCACAAUAAAUGACAUUGUGCAUAAUUUGAAAAAAAAUAAUUGAGUAAGGAAUAAAAAUAAUAAUAACAAUACAUUUCAUUUUAUAAGCACCUUUCAAAACACUCAAAGACACCUUACAUUAAAAAAAAGAAUUAAAAAACUGAUAAAAUUAUAAAUAAUAAAAGGAGAGAUGAAUUUAAACUGAGUAUGCGAUUUUAAAUAGGUGGGUUUUGACAUGUGAUUUGAAUGUGGGAAGAGAAUCAAUAUUUCGGAUGUCGGGUGGGAGUGAGUUCCAGAGUUUGGGGGCAGAGCGGCUGAAAGCUCUGCACCCCAUCCUGCUGAGACGGGCCGAGGGUACACAGGAUUUCCUGGACAAGAAAACCCCUCCCAGCAAGCGAAAGAAUGUCGAAUAGUCCGAAGCCAACGCCGGCUACAUCGCUGCCGCGAUGAACAUCAACUGACCUAGCCAGGCCGGCUAACACGCUGUGGUCCGUGGAUCCGCCGUGGAUGCACCUCCGGAAAGGACGAGGAGCGAUGCCCGGAAAGUGGUGGUUUUAAGUCAUAGUUUUUUGCCCUCUUUAGUUCAUGUUCCCUAUCAGAAGUGUUUUCUCCCUUUUUUGUAAAAAAACGAUCCAAGGACACGUGAACACUUUUUCUGGGUGAUCUACAUUUACGAAAAUCGGGACGCCUCAUAUCCCGAAGGGCAAAUGAUGAGGAUGCUGCAUAGACACAUCUAUCUGUUGAUCUAGCUAUACUCGUAGACACAUACAGUAUAAGUCCCUCUAAGCCAAUGAGAUGCCAUGAUGAUGCUCGGUAACAGCCAAUGGCAGAGCAGCUAGAAAUAUGUUGGGUUGAGGAAACUCUGAGCUGCGAGUAGUAGUCCAUGCUGUAUUUUUACCUUUUUUAUCUUGUAAUGUCCUUUAUAACAAGAAGCAAUAUUUUCCUGUUGAGACGUUUCGUAACUUGAAAAUUUCGCAUGAAGAGACGUAAGUAGAGGUGCCACUGUACACAGAUAUAAUAUUUUCUAAAAGGCUUUAAUAAUACAAUAUAAAGACACUAAAUAUGAAAUAGUCAUUGAAACGCAUCAUGUUAUGAAUAUAUAGGGCCACCACAGCAUGGCCACCACCCAAACAGGCUUUGCGUAGAACCACGGACAGUUAGGUUAUUCUUUCUUUGUGCUCGGAGAGUGUUGAGAGUUUUUUUUUCUUCCCUGAACAGGUUUUGUGAGGUCAUUAUUGUUUGAGGAGCACAUAGACCCUUCACUGGGGGUGGAGAGGGGGCGGGGGGUGAUUUGAUGUCAGAGCUUUCUUCUGUUCUGUCAUGUCAAGCCAGUGAACACUAAAAGGGAGAAACAAAAUCUUCACCGGAACAAAAGUGGUUGUCAGCUUAUACUGAGUGACGGUCAAAAAUACACAAGAUCUGUUUAGGCUUAUGCCCACUUAAGUCUUAAGUCUCUGUAAGUAAAGGAUUUUGGCACCUGCAGGAGAUCCGAAUCAGAUGUAAAGGACAUAUGGACAUCCAGGGAAUUAGAAAGUCAUGUAUAGCUCUAUUUUAAGCUACUACAUUCAACACAGAACUGCAAAGAAAGUACAGUGGACCGUCGGAGUACAAUCUCUUUUAAGACUUAAAAAAAAUAAACAUAAAUAUAAAUGGGACCGAGUUUCACUUUGAGUCACAUGUUUUGCAAACAAUAUCUUGUCAGUGACAUUUUCUUUUGUAUUAACAUCAUAAAGACAGAAACCUGUCAAAGAAAAUGAAAAAUCCAAAUUAGGAGGUAAGACAUGCCAAUUGAUUGUCUCGUCUUCUUUUUGUUCAAUUUCUGGAGUUGUGAAUGACUUUGGUGAGCUCCAAAGCUUUAGCUUCCAUUACACGUUUGUUGACUGAACCAUUGAAAUUCCAAUAUACCAAUCCACCAUAAUGACAUUUGUGACCAAGCAGAAUCUAUGCUAAUUGUUUUACCAGUGUUACUGUAGAGCAGAGUUGGGCAGAGGAGCCAAAAUUACACUCAAAUAAGAAUACUGUUAAUGUGAAUGUGAAUUAGUCGCUAAUAGUAUAAGGUGGUAGUCCUCUAAAUAAUUUGAGUAGAUCGAAACAGGAUUUAGUGAAAAAAAAUACUGAAGCAUCGAGUAAACGUUGAGUCGCUGAUUGUAACUUAUCUGUUCUGUUUACUUUUUAAACACCGUAUUUUCACGACUAUUCGACGCACCGUACGGUUGGGCGCAGUCUCAUUAAUGGGUGACAUUUCUGUAUUUUACACAUAUACAGACCGCACUGUACCAACGGGCGCAGUUUUACAGUGGUAAAACAUACGCCAGCUUAAACAUACAGCAUGCUUGCGCCCACGCUAACACGUUAGCUUGAAGCAUACGGUAGCAUGCCAAGACAUACAGAUACAAGCUAAAAACAUGUUUCUAAAAAGGCAACGAAAGCAGAACUGAGUUCGGGUGUAUUUUAUUUAGCCAUCGUACAAUGUUCUCACGUUUUUCGAUCAAUCACCUCCCAGAAAUCCAUCAAAGUCCUCAUUCUCUGUAUCAGAAGCAGAGGACUGCACAUCCCAGUUGUCACUGAACGCAUCACAUGCUAAAGUGUGAGUUGCUACGCAUUGCCGAGCGGAAAGGAGCAGUAACAGCAAAGUCAACAUUUCUCUCGUGUGAAGCUUUCCCACAUUUGAAAGUAAAGAACAGAGCGAAACAUGGUGGCAGCGUGUGCGUGUGUAGAAAGAAUUGAACAAUUGUGCAAGUACCGUAAUCCAUCAAAAACUCGUUGUUGCGUAUUGUGGCGUAACUCGCCAAGCGCUGCCUCUCACUCUUUGUAAAGUUGUGUUUGCCAGCCAUCCAUUGUUCCCAAGCCGUUCGCAACUUUACUUUGAACGCCCGGUUGAUGCCAAUGUCCAGCGGUUGGAGUUCUUUAGUCAAGCCUCCGGGAAUAACGGCAAGCUCAGAGUUCAUUUGCUUGACUUGGUUUUUCACUGCUGCUGUGAGAUGGGCACGCAUGCCAAAAGCAUAACCGGUGGCUUUAAGUUUGAACUGAGCUUCGUAGGCGUGUCUCUUUGUCGAAUUUAUUUUCAGGGGUUCUUAGAAACCAAAACCGGAGUUGUUUUGCAACAAUGCACAUUGCCACACUCUAUACAAGUGUUGGUACUGGCUUGCGGCGUCCCUUUAGCGUCCACUUACACGCCCACCCUUCACCGUGGACUGCUCCCCAGCUUGCCUGUCCUCUCUCUCUCUCUCUCUCUCUCUCUCUCUCUCUCUCUCUCUAUCUCUCUCUCUCUCUCUCUCUCUCUCUCUCUCUCUCUCUCCCUCUCCAUAUGUGUAUAUAUACACGCCCACCCUUCCCUGAUUGGCUGACUUCUUUCCCGCAUGCCUGGCCACAGUCACUUCCGCCUUUCUCCAUAUAAACAGCGUGUCGGCUGGCAGUCAGAUUUUGGAACUCAGCGCAUAUAAAGGACGCUCCGCACCAUAAGGCGUCCUGUCCAUUUUGGAGAAAAUAUAAGACUUUUAAUGGCGCCUUAUAGUCGUGAAAAUACGGUAGUCAAUUAACCUCAAUUUGAGAAAAACAGAAAAGAGAAAUACACAAAUUCAAUUAUUUCCCAACAAUAUCACUUAAGUAUGAUAUUGCUUUCAUCUAAAAUAACAAAAUAGGGCAAAUUGAGCCACAACAAUUGGUCUUAAGUGACCUUUCCAUGUUUACACAUUUGCCGUAAAACCGCACAAUAGGCAAACUGGCAAAACUCUAUCCGAUAAUGAUUAUUUAUUAUUUUCAUAUGUCCGAUUCAUCGGUUGGGCCCUACAAAAAAUACAAGUAGCAAGCGCAGGCCUGAGGAUUUCACGGUAAUGAUCGUUUCGAGCGUGUUAUUUCCAUGGGAUCAUUUGUAUGGCACGAAAAAUAGUUUCCCAUAAAUGUGAUCCCCUGUGUGAUCAAUGUGAUUUCACUAUGCCUGUACGUGUGUUUGUGGUGUGGUGCGUGAGUGUUUUUCUUCUAUUCUACUUUAGUUUUGUUUUGUUUUUAUUAAGUGGUGGGGGGGGGGGUGGAAUAUGAAACAUUAUGUGCACAUGCGGGUUGCUAUUUUAGUCUGCACGCUGAAAAAGCGCGUGGAUGAUGGAUAGAGAUGGUAGCGAAAAAAAACACCGGUGUAGUCAAGUCAAGUCAAGUCAAGUCAAGUCAAGUCAAGUCAAGUCAACAGUAUUUAUAGAGCACUUUCAAACAGCCAUCGCUGCAUACAAAGUGCUGUACAUGGAGCGAUUUAACAUAUACAAUAAACAGUAAGACGAAUCAGUAACAAGUAAUAAGUAAUAAGGCGGUAGAAAGCACCAAGCAGUAAAACCAAUAGCAAAUCUAAGUCAUGCUGAGUCAAACGCCAAAGAAUACAAGUGAGUUUAGUAGUUACUACAUUUAAGAAAUGGGAAUGCCAGUCGUAUUUUUCUUUCAAAUCAUCUGGAGAAUGAUUGUGUGUGUGUAUGCACAAAACACAAAAGAGAAAUACAAUGGCAGGCACGAGUCUGAGGCAAGUACUUGAAGUUAGUCAUUAGAUCUAAAGGCUAAUCGCUAUGAAAAAUAUUAUGAAACAGUCUUAGUUAUUUUAUAAUUUACUAGUUGAAGACAUGGUAACUUUAUGAAUGAAAUAAAAAUUUGUCCCAAGGUGUAGUAAUAGUCGGUAGAACUAACAAUGACAUGUGGUCGAUUCUUUGAUCAAAUUGAUAGUCGAUUAAACAGUGCGUCGUCUUGGGGUUGCAAGGAGAACGUCAAGCCGUAUCAAUACUGUAAGUCUCUCUCUCUCUCUCUCUCCCUCUCUCUCUCUCUCUCUCUCUCUCUCUCUCU